GGCGCCCGUGUCUGUCCGUCCGCGGACAGAGGCGGCGCCUCAAAGUCUGCCCUGCGGAGUUCACUCGCCUCAACUCUUGGACCUCACCGUCUGGGUUGGCAGAGUGGCCCGCUCUGGCGCUUGUGUGCGGCCUGCAGCCUGCAGUGCCGCACCCCUCAACACACCCU
rnacentral:misc_RNA from 1 species